rnacentral:rRNA from 1 species
GACGAACGCUGGCGGCGUGCUUAACACAUGCAAGUCGAGCGGUAAGGCCCUUUUGGGGGUACACGAGCGGCGAACGGGUGAGUAACACGUGGGUGACCUGCCCUCAGCUCUGGGAUAAGCCUGGGAAACUGGGUCUAAUACUGGAUAUGACCUUUCCUCGCAUGGGGGUUGGGGUGGAAAGUUUUUCGGCGUGGGGAUGGGCCCGCGGCCUAUCAGCUUGUUGGUGGGGUGAUGGCCUACCAAGGCGACGACGGGUAGCCGGCCUGAGAGGGCGACCGGCCACACUGGGACUGAGACACGGCCCAGACUCCUACGGGAGGCAGCAGUGGGGAAUAUUGCGCAAUGGGCGGAAGCCUGACGCAGCGACGCCGCGU